CGAAUCGAACCGUGACACGGUUGGUUUUUUAAAUUUUGCCCAAAACGCUGCGUUUUGAACACAGAUCCAGAAGAACCCUUGCCUUCACUCUUCACUCUUCAGUCUUCACUCUUCAGUUCUUCCACCAGACGCCACUCUCGAGCCUCCACUCUCACCUCUAGCUCUCGUGGGAAAGCCUCCGUCCAGCCACCGCCGCCGUCUCAAGUUCCGUGGAAGUCACUCACCGUCGCAAGUUCCUGGAGCCAGCUUGGAGAUUCGCACAGCCCUUUCCGUCGCGAAGUCAGCCGUGGAAAUCGCAGCCACCGCCACCACUCCUUGCCGUCGCGCAGUGUCUUCCCGCCGGCGCCAGCCCUGUUCGAACCUUCCACCCCAGCCACUGUCCCUGUCGCCGCCAGCUCUGCAUUCUCCCGUCUUCCACUAACCCUAGCCGCAGCUGUCUCCGACUCCAAGCUUCCAUUUCCAUUUCCAUCAACACUUGACAGCGUCGUCGCCGGCGGCUUGACGGAGGCUUCAUUUAGUAAUCAGUAGUAUUUGCAGUUUAGAUAAGGUCGUGAUUAAAUGGAGCCUGCAAACGUAGUGUUCGACAAAUUGAAAGCCGUCGCUAAAUCCGGAAACGAAUUCUUUCAUGGACUCUUCGAUCCUCGUCGCAAUCCGAUUCAAAUCCUCAAACGUUUAAACCGAGAAGCAUUCUCUGACAUUAUGAAACUCAGAGACAGACAAGAGAAGGUUGAGAGGUUGCUUUCCUUCUAUAAAUCAUCCAAGGGAGGUCCCUUCCAGGAAUCUACCACUCAUGUAAGAGGAAGGGUCGAUAUGCAGGAUGCUUUAUUGAUUAUGGAUAGCCUUGAUCAACAGAGCUUAGAUGCCAUUACUACGUCCAGAAUAAGAACCGGCAUUGGAUCAAAGUUCAUUUUUGAAACCAACAUUGGGCAGGAUACUCUUGCUGCAGAGUUUGUGACAAGUCAAAACGGGAAGGAUCACCCCAAUGAUGUCCUUGAAAUGCCACUUUCUCUAGCAAAACUCAGUUAUACUAAAAAUGUUAAUGAUUGGUUAUCUCUGACGGCUAUCCCAAUAGGAGCUAAAUGUAGAGAUGUUGGAAUUGCUUCAAAUUCUUCCGAUGAGGGCCUUACGGACUUCUCCUCUUUUGGACCUCCCCUUCUAAAUUUGCACAAUGGUAGUGGUAUUGGCAUAACUGUGAGGAAGUCAAAUAUAAUUGCUUCAUUGGCUCAAUUUGUUGCUGGACUUGGAAUGCCAACUGGGACUAAUACAAUGGAGAGUAUAUCCAGCACUUUUGGGAAAAUUGUAUCUGAAUUUUCUUGGGGGAAGCUGUCUCUUCUGGGUCUUCAACGAGUGCCUUUACAAUUUACGCAAUUUAGAAAAGUUGGAGCUCAUAUGAUUCCAAUAGUCUUGUCCAGGCAACAUAAAGUAUCCGAGACAGUACCUGAAGUAUCACCAUGGGUGGGAGCAAGGACACAGGUCUCAACUGGUUCCAUUGCUCUGAUGGCGGAGUCUGAACUUGCCGACUUUGUAAAAUUGGGAGGCUGGAUCGAGAUGAAAGAUCCAAAUUUCAAUUCUGUUCAGUGGGCUCUAACCAUGUCUGAUGUUUCUGAAGAUCCGCUUGGCUGGGGCGUUAGUCUCAGUGGGAUGAUUGGAGAUUCAACCAGUGAUCAUUUUCAGGCUGAAUCCUAUCUAAAAUUUAACAUGGGUAAUAAACUUUGCUUGAAGCCUGGCGUUGCAUAUGUGAUGCAUGGGGAUUCCAUGGUAGCUGCUUUAAUGCUUCGCUCUGAAUGGUCCCUAUGAUGAUUGUCCUCUGCCUAUUGCUAUCUAUAUACCAUGCAGUUUUUUCAGGUUCUUGCUACACUUACAUCGAGAUGUAUAGAGCAGGAUUUCAAACCCUAGAGGAGCUUAUAUUAUAUGACAUGGUUGCAUAUGUUCGCAUGCAUGCAUGCACCACGUUUUAAGUGUUGUAGCAAGCCUCUUCAGUAUAUGUACAAAAUAGUGAUCAUUCACGUGAUUGGUUCAAGUGAAUCUAGGGCUUGAGCAUUUGGGAUAGCAGAAUGGAUCUCUACAGUGAUUAUUUGGUAUCAUUUAGCUGACGCAGGGGCAAAUAGUUUGAUGUACUUUACAUAACUGCUAACCUUUUCCCUUUUUCCAGUUUUGGUUUCAUGUCAAUAUACCUCAGUUAAAUCUUAAUCCAUGAGUCCAAAUUUUUUCCUAUAUUUGACAAGAUAUAUAAUAGUUAAGCAGAACAAGGAAUGAGAAAUAACCUUUUGCUGUUGAGAUGAGAAAACACUCAUGCCUGGAAGAUUAAAUUGUUAUAAAUAGGAAUUCUACAGAAGAUUCCACUGAUUUCAGGUGAUUUGAGCAAUCUCUUGUGCAGAACAGUAUUUAUCUUUUCUUUAUAUAUUGUGUAAGGAAUUCUUGCAAACAGAAUCCCAGUUGGUUACAGAUUUGGGAAUGAUAAUGAAGCAUAACUAUGAUUUGUUGCGAGCAUGGUAGAGUUAGGGGUAAUGAUUGAUAUUGCCAUCUUUAAAUUUUACCUAACAGAAACCAGAUAACUGUUAUUUCAAGAGAUUCUUCAGGGAACAAAUUUCAAUCCUGUGUGGCUACAUACUACGUUGACAAUCAAUACUAUGAUUGAGUAACCUCAACCCUACUACUCCCUAGCUUCAAACCCAAAUGAACUUUAGGGUUACAAAUCGUCAGUAUAAUUGUUGGCUGUCGGUGGUGACAAUCAAUUGUGUGAGCUCUACCCUGAUGGUAAUAGCUUUGACCUUUCCAAAGGACUUGUCAGAAGGAAACUUAACUUGACUAAAGAAGAAGAUUCCUUGAUGCAUUCACAAGCCAACAACAGCAAUAACACACUUUGUAUAUAUAAUUGUUUUAUUUUUUAUUAUUAUUAAGGUCUUGGGGCCUUGGGGGUGGCUUUUCUAGCUAAAUAAUUUUCCCAUAUUAUCACAUUUUGUUUCAUAAUAUAUCAUCAGUGAAUUUCUUUCAAAUUUGUUAGGCGCCUGCUUUGCUAUAUAUAAUUAUAUAUUGAUAGGUCUUUUUGCUUUAA